rnacentral:rRNA from 1 species
UACGUAGGUGGCGAGCGUUGUCCGGAAUUAUUGGGCGUAAAGGGAGCGCAGGCGGGAAGGUAAGUCUAUCUUAAAAGUGCGGGGCUCAACCCCGUGAGGGGAUGGAAACUAUCUUUCUUGAGUGCAGGAGAGGAAAGCGGAAUUCCUAGUGUAGCGGUGAAAUGCGUAGAUAUUAGGAGGAACACCAGUGGCGAAGGCGGCUUUCUGGACUGUAACUGACGCUGAGGCUCGAAAGCCAGGGGAGCGAACGGG